CCCUUAGAUGUUCUGGGCCGCACGCGCGCUACACUGAUGCAUUCAACGAGCCUAUCCUUGACCGACAGGUCCGGGUAAUCUUUGAAUCUGCAUCGUGACGGGGAUAGAUUAUUGCAAUUAUUAAUCUUCAACGAGGAAUGCCUAGUAGGCGCAAGUCAUCAGCUUGCGUCGAUUACGUCCCUGCCCUUUGUACACACCGCCCGUCGCUCCUACCGAUUGGGUGUGCUGGUGAAAUGUUCGGAUCGGCCGUUUGUCGCGGUUUCCGCGGCUCGUGGCUAAGAAGUUCAUUAAACCCUCCCACCUAGAGGAAGGAGAAGUCGUAACA
rnacentral:rRNA from 1 species